UUUGGGAGGCCAAGGCUGGAGGAUCACUUGAGCCCAGAAGUUUGAGACCAAUGUGGGCAACACAGUGAGACCUUGUCUCUAUAAA
rnacentral:miRNA from 1 species